rnacentral:rRNA from 1 species
CGGGGUGAGUAAUGUAUGGGGAUCUGCCUGAUGGCGGGGGAUAACUACUGGAAACGGUAGCUAAUACCGCAUAAUGUCUGCGGACCAAAGCGGGGGACCUCCGGGCCUCGCGCCAUCAGAUGAACCCAUAUGGGAUUAGCUUGUAGGUAAGGUAACGGCUUACCCAGGCGACGAUCCCUAGCUGGUCUGAGAGGAUGAUCAGCCACACUGGGACUGAGACACGGCCCAG